UACAGAGGGGGCAAGCGUUAUUCGGAAUUAUUGGGCGUAAAGGGCGCGUAGGCGGCUUGGCAAGUGGAUGGUGAAAUCCCUCGGCUUAACCGAGGAACGGCCGUCCAAACUGCUUCGCUUGAGACCGGGAGAGGUGAGUGGAAUUCCCAGUGUAGCGGUGAAAUGCGUAGAUAUUGGGAGGAACACCAGUGGCGAAGGCGGCUCACUGGACCGGUACUGACGCUGAAGCGCGAAAUCGUGGGGAGCAAACGGG
rnacentral:rRNA from 1 species